ensembl:piRNA 21ur-4980 ncRNA
UCGUUUUUCGCCAUGAGUCAU